GCCCCUCUAGCUCAUGCUUGGUUAGAGCAGCAGACUCAUAAUCUGUUGGUGCCGUGUUCGACUCACGGGGGGGGCACCA
rnacentral:tRNA from 2 species